rnacentral:lncRNA from 1 species
AGAGAGACACUUCUAUCACUUCUGUUAGGUGGAGACCCAUUAUCCACGUAGGUUGGGAGAAGUGAUGUGGAGAUAGAGGAUUAUCCCGUGGACUUAGGAUCUAUUGUGACUCACCAGUUAGACAUGAGUUGAGUGAUCUGUCUAGUGAGCGUGGUGGGCGAUGAGAGGAGAUAUGUGUUCUCGAGGUGUGAGCAACACGGAAUGGGAUAGGAUAAGUGUGGU